CAGGAAAAAACACUUACAGUGGAAAGCACUAAUCUGGAGAAAAGGAUUGAGAAAAGUCGCAGGAAGCACCUUAAUAUUGACAUCAUGGAAGGUGUCACCAAUGAUUUGAAAACUCAACAAGAUCCGCCUCAAACUGAUCUCAAUCUCGCCCUGUCAUGAAUUCCAGGGCACUCUAUGUUCCAUGAGAUUUUCUGCAACUUACUUCAGGCGCUGUGAAGCUCCUACUCUAUUUAAUGAGAUCAUAUAUUAGGAAGUCCAAAUAUUCCGUUAAAGUUGUUAUACUCACAUAUCUCUCAGUUUUCUGUCUAUGCUUAUGAUUUGUGCUUGAAGUUGAAAUUUUAAGAACUUGAAAAUAAUUCCUAGUUUCAAAUUU